AUGGCUGUUGCUGUGCCGUCGACGCUGCCGAUGAAGCUUAGGAAGGUUGAGCUCCGCGGCAAGGCGGCGGCGACGGGGGUUGCCGGCCGCGCGCGCGUGCUGGUGACGGUUACCGUCCUCGGAAGCGCUGGCCCUCUACGGUUCUUGGUCGACGAGGGCGAGUCGGUCUACGGACUAAUCCGUGCUGCGCUCCGCUGCUAUGCCCGCGAGGGCCGCAUGCCGCUGCUCGGCUCCGACGCUGCCAACUUCCUCCUCUACACAGCCAACGGCAGAUCCGACGCUCUCAAGGCCGACGAGAGGAUCAGCUUCAAUGGAUGCAGGAGCUUCAUGCUGUGGCAGAAGACUGUCGCCGACAACAAUGGGUCUGAGCCUAAUUCUAGCCCAGGCAGAAAGGGGAUCAGCGGCUGGAAAUUUGGCCUAAACAAGAUCCUUCUCAACUUCAGCUUCAAGGUGUGA
rnacentral:rRNA from 1 species